GCAGCGCCCCGCCCCGCUCGCCCCAGCGCCGCGCCCCUGUACGAGGACGAGGGCCACGUGACGGCCUCGUACAGGGGCAAAAGCAGCACGGCUGCGUCCUGGAGGAGGGAGCAGUUUAAGGGGCUGGAGGACGGCUACGGCUACGGAGACGCCGGCCCGCCCCAGCCCCAGCAGCAGCGGCUACGUCAGCGAGCGGGGGUGCAGCGCCGCCUCCAGCGCCGGGAAGAAGAAAGUCCUGGUCCUGCUGUUGUUGCUCCUCUUCAAGUUGCCGCUCCUUUGCAGGACCGUCGGGUGCUGCUGCUGGUGGUGGGCACCUCUGCUUUCACCGCUGCUGCUGGUGGGCAACGCCGACGCCCUCCGAUCCCCGUCACCAACCCCCCGAGGCAUCCGCCUCUGCCUGUAGAAGAAGGAUUUGAAUGCACUCUUGCAACAUCCCUUGCAGCCUAAGACAUUCUCACGCCGCUAUUUGGCUGGGCGGGUAUAUCACCAUUGCUUCAAAAGCAACUAGAAGAGUUGUCCAAGAGGAAUGUAAACAGUAAUAGCAGUAAUGACGAUAACAAAGGGUCACGAUUUGUUAUUAUUGGCCAGGAUCGUGUGGAACCGUUGCAAGCUCUUCAAGAUUCUGGACAAGAGUUUAGGUUUCUAUAGACUAUUUAGGGUAUUCAUAACCAGAAUCAAGUUUGCAUCUUGUAUUUGUGUGAACAUGGACAAGCAAAGGGAGAAGAGAAGACUUACUGAGAAUUGGAGGCGAAAGAAACACGAAGAGAAGAAAGGCACACAGGAACAAAAGAGAAAGGACAGGAGAAGUGCUAAAGAGAGGGACUGGAUAAUAAAUGAAAUACUGAAAGAGGAGGCAUGUAUUGUUUUGAGAUUAUUUGUCUCAGGCCACUUCAGUUCCACGAUUCCUUCAUAGUCCGCAACUAAGAGAGUGAACAUAUUUUUCUUGCUGAACCAUGAAUCUUAUGGGAAGUAGCGAGCUUUAGAGACUAUGAUUUCGCUGCGGAGGUGUCACCUAAGAAUUCUACAUUCCAGAUUUUUUUCAGAAUCACUUCGCUUCCCAUGGCAUUGUUGUUUCAAAGACGGAGCUAUCCCAGUUUGUUGCUCUAUCAUUUAUGCUGCAACUUGUUGUUCAUUCCUUUACAUUUCUUUUACAACUUUUAGUGAAAGGCAACCUCCAAUCAAGCAGCGAUUUACCAAAUAGCAGUUUCAAGUUUUCUCUUUCUUUUGUACAUUGUUGUGCAUAAUUUGUUCUGUUAUAGAGAUUUAAAUGAGUACUGUUCUACUUUAGAUUACUGCACCUUCUGGUUGUGAGUGGAUCUAAGAAUUAACAUGAUACGAUAUCUUCUCGAAAGAUGAUACAUUAUCUCGACACCAGCAUGUGUCAUUUUUUGGACAUUAGAUAGGUUAGCAUUUUUAAUAUGUGUAUUUAACAAUAUUUUGUGAAAUGGAGUUAUGGAUCUAUGAUCUAACUAGUUCACUAGCAUUUGGUAGGUUUGCAAGCUUCCACAAUUUCAUUGCACAUGAUUUACUACUGAAAUAUUCAUGAAUUUAUGAUCUGACAAGUUCACUAGCAUUUGGUAGAUUUGCAAGCUUCCACGAUUUCGGAAGCCAAACGGAGAUACUCCGGCUCCUAACUCUGCGGUGGAGCGGAGCGACGUGCAGUUCAUUUCUUUGGAGCGGGUAUUCUGUCGCUCCUUGUUUCCAGAGGAACGGAGUGACUGGAGUGGUACAUUGUCGAACAGGCACUUCAUUGCACAUGAUUUACUGAAUUGCAGAUAUCAAAAGGCGCAUGGAGAAGGAUGUUAACGAAGUGACAAAGGUUGCACGGCUCACAAAAUCAAAACUACAGCAAUUGAAUAAAGAGUGGAUAACCACGUUGUCAUCCUGUGUUGAUUUUCCCAAGUAGUCGCUGAUGUCAUUGGCAUCAAUGCUCCAUAUGAUGUUUCUGCAUGGUUUGUAGCCUCUCAUGCUUCUCAUGCCCUUCAAUAUUUCUACGGUUCCUCUCCAUAUGUGUGUUAUGGGACUCUGGCACACCAUCACAUGCCUCCAUGUUAUUCAUACUCGUUUCAAUUCAUGGUUGUUCCUCCUCCAUUUCACUUGACCUAUCGAGUGUCCCUCAAUUGUUCUGCAGCUAGCAGCUCUUUCAUGUGAGCCAAGGAAGUGGAGGAGAGGUAGUUGGAGGUCUAGCACAGGAGUCCCUGGUGGAUGUGGCGAUGAAGAUUGCCAACAUUUGCAAUCAGCCUAGCACCAUUAACGAAAGGAUAAGCAUGUAGAGUAGUAAGCAUUUUUCCUUUGGCGUUGUGGUUGUUUCAUGUCUGAUUAUAUGGAAGGUCCGGGAGGAAAGUGCAUGGCCACAGAUGUUACGUAAGCAUCAAAACAAUCAUUUUUCGUUGUUUAUUGAAGGUUAUUAGUGAAGUAGAUGGAAGUUCCCAUGGCUUGACAGCAGUUGGAGAUAUCUCCGUUGAGUGAAGAUAAUUUCACAAAUUUGUAGUGAGCAAUCUGAGUUUCUGAGUUGAUUGUUUCUCCAGUAUGGAAUUUACCUAACUCUACCUUUU